UCCNNCUUUAGCUCAGUUGGUAGAGCACAUCAUUCGUAAUGAUGGGGUCGCGUGUUCGAGUCACGCAAGCGGCACCA
rnacentral:tRNA from 1 species